UGGGGAGGGAACCUUGGAAAGUGCGAGCUUGAUGGGAACGGAGAGCGUAGGUGGUGGAAAGCCUGCACAGCCAUCAAUGACUAAGCACCAGAGAAGCAACGAUUUUGUGUGGUGAUUGUGGAUAACAUUUCUCUGUCUUGUCUUCUGCAUUCUCUGUUCGGGUCAAUCCUAACCCAUUUCUCUUAUGGGUUGGAUUACGUGGUAACAGUUCAUUGCAUAAAUCGUCAUGGGCCUGUAAAUUGAACAAAUGUAGCCCCCACCCAAAUUAUGAUAUUGUAAUAUCAUCAAUAAGCUUAAUCUAAUUUCAUGCUUCAUUUCCUAUUCAAUUUUAGAAAAAUAUUUUAAUUAAACUUUUGAAAUUUUAUUAGUCCCAAUUCAAUGUAUACGAAGUUAUAUAUGGCUGAGUUUUUUCUGGUUAUUAGUGCUUAUCACUUCUUAUAUUAAUUCAUUUACGCAAAUAAUAUAUUUAAAAUUUUCUCGCUUUUUAAUACAGUAAACUGCGAAAUAACUCUUAUCUAGAAAAAGCAACUGAAGAGUGUAAAAUGACACACUUUUUAUUUAAAUAUUUAUUAGGUUUUUUAUUCUUGUUUAUUUUUUGACAGGAACAAGUCGUAAUGGUCGAGCCUUCUGUAAGGUGAUCCCAAAUUUCUCCUCCAUGUUCAUAUCUUGGGGUUGGAAGCCAUCUUCAAGUUUCCAGUGAAAGGAGUUAAUUAAGGAACCCAACAUUAGGAACAUCAUCCUCG
rnacentral:lncRNA from 1 species